rnacentral:rRNA from 1 species
GCAAGUCGAACGGUAACAGAAGAAAAGCUUGCUUUUCUUGCUGACGAGUGGCGGACGGGUGAGUAACGCGUGGGAAUCUACCCUUUAGUUGGGGACAACAUAUGGAAACGUAUGCUAAUACCGAAUAUGCUCUACGGAGUAAAGGUGCCCUCUCCUUGGAAGGUAUCGCUAAAGGAUGAGCCCGCGUUAGAUUAGCUAGUUGGUAGGGUAAAGGCCUACCAAGGCGACGAUCUAUAGCUGGUUUGAGAGGAUGAUC